AAAAAAGACAACGGAAAUGUUCCUGGGGAGACAAUAACCCGACGGACCAGUUGCACGAACCAAAACAUGCUAACCAGUGCGCUAGGACUGGGACACACUUCAAAGAAGUGGAGGAGAGGCAAUGUAUUGUCCAUAUUGUGGAAUCCAGCUAGUGGGGCAAAUUGGAGUUUUUUGUGGGUCCUGUGGAACUAACAUUCAAGUUUUAGCACCUUUUAUAGAGAAUGGCCCAGUCUCAGUCACAGACAUCAUCAAUAAGUAUUUCUCUGAGGGCCAUACAUAUGAAGUGAUCCUGGAUUUUCUUGAAAACAAGCAUAAUAUUUGUAUGAGUCUGAGAACAUUAAAGAGGAGGCUAAAAGAUGCUGGAAUGACUAGAAGGACAGACUUUACUCCCACUGACAUUGUCAUUUCCACUGUUACACAAGAACUGAGAGGCUCAGGUCAGCUUCUGGGUUACAGAUCCAUGUGUCAGACACUGCGACAAAAGUAUAAUCUGAAAGUUAAAAGAAAUGAUGUAAUGCACAUACUCUCAAGACUAGAUCCAUAUGGUGUUAAGCGUCGCUGUAAACGCAGGUUUGUUCGAAGAGGAUAUUUUUCAGAAGGACCAAAUCAAGUGUGGCAUGUGGAUGGUUAUGAUAAGCUGAAGCCCUUUGGUGUUGCUAUUAGUGCAUGUGUCGAUGGAUUUUCAAGGAAAGUUAUGUGGCUCAGCUGUGGCAGCUCAAAUGAUACGCAGGUAUCAUUGCAAAAUAUUAUAUGGAGUGCUUGUCACGGUUUGGUCAACUUCCAGCAUGCCUUCGUACAGACUGUGGCACAGAAAAUGGCACAAUGGCAGCCAUUCACUGUGCUUUAAGAUCAGACCAUGGAGAUGAACUUGCAGGAGCCCACAGUCAUAUGUAUGGUACCUCAACUACAAAUCAACGGAUUGAAAGUUGGUGGUCUUCGUUCAGAAAGCAAAGAACUCAGUUCUGGAUUGAACUCUUCAGUGACCUGAGGGAGAGGCAUCUUUUCAACGGCAGUCAUGAACAUAAAUGCCUUCUACGAUAUGUCUUCCUCAAUGUCUUGCAAAAAGAGCUUGACGAGUACAGAGAUCUCUGGAACACUCACACCAUCCGACCUGUGCGCCAAUCUUGUUGUCCAUCUGGUAAACCAGAAGCCAUGUAUCACCUGCCUCAUAGGUAUGGUGGAAGAGAGUGUGGAUUCCAAGUGCCUCAAGACAUCCUGCACCAGUUUGAUGACAUUCUACCUGCUCAGUACAGUCUAUGUGGGGACGACAAUCUCCAGGUUCAUUUCACAAACUUGGAAAGACAGAGUGAGCUCCCUCGACCAGUCAACUGGACUACUGCAGUUGAAAAUUAUAUAACACUCAAAAAUAUGACUGGACUUUAGAAGUCAAUGUAAAAUCAUCUGCUAGAUGUGGGUACAAUUACCACUGACACUAAUUGUCACAAAC